rnacentral:rRNA from 1 species
AGCAGUCGCCGCGGGAACACGGAGGGUGCAAGCGUUAUCCGGAUUUAUUGGGUUUAAAGGGUCCGUAGGCGGAUCUGUAAGUCAGUGGUGAAAUCUCACAGCUUAACUGUGAAACUGCCAUUGAUACUGCAGGUCUUGAGUAAAUUUGAAGUGGCUGGAAUAAGUAGUGUAGCGGUGAAAUGCAUAGAUAUUACUUAGAACACCAAUUGCGAAGGCAGGUCACUAAGAUUUAACUGACGCUGAUGGACGAAAGCGUGGGGAGCGAACAGGAUUAGAUACCCCCGUAGUCCCUGUCUCUUAUAC